AAUGAACGCUGGCGGCAGGCCUAACACAUGCAAGUCGAGGGGUAGAGGUUGCUUGCAACCUUGAGACCGGCGCACGGGUGCGUAACGCGUAUGCAACCUACCUUUUACAGAGGGAUAGCCCAGAGAAAUUUGGAUUAAUACCUCAUAGUAUAUGUUUUUCGCAUGUUAGACAUAUUAAAGUUCCAACGGUAAAAGAUGGGCAUGCGUCCUAUUAGCUAGAUGGUAAGGUAACGGCUUACCAUGGCAACGAUAGGUAGGGGUCCUGAGAGGGAGAUCCCCCACACUGGUACUGAGACACGGACCAGACUCCUACGGGAGGCAGCAGUGAGGAAUAUUGGACAAUGGGCGCAAGCCUGAUCCAGCCAUGCCGCGUGCAGGAAGAAGCAUCUAUGGUGUGUAAACUGCUUUUGUACAGGAAGAAACACCCCGACGUGUCGGGACUUGACGGUACUGUAAGAAUAAGGAUCGGCUAACUCCGUGCCAGCAGCCGCCGUAACAC
rnacentral:rRNA from 1 species